UACGUAGGGACCAAGCGUUGUUCGGAUUUACUGGGCGUAAAGGGCGCGUAGGCGGCGUGACAAGUCACUUGUGAAAUCUCUGAGCUUAACUCAGAACGGCCAAGUGAAACUGUUGUGCUAGAGUGCAGAAGGGGCAAUCGGAAUUCUUGGUGUAGCGGUGAAAUGCGUAGAUAUCAAGAGGAACACCUGAGGUGAAGACGGGUUGCUGGGCUGACACUGACGCUGAGGCGCGAAGCCAGGGGAGCAAACGGG
rnacentral:rRNA from 1 species